AUAAUAUACGUGGUUAAUAAAAUGGUACCCAACCUUGGGGUCGGGAACACACUUUGGGUCGCCUGAUGUGCCUAUGGGGUACCUAGAGCUUGCUGGCAAAAGCUAAAGAAUAAACCAUAGAUUAUAUUUUUAAUGGUCUCAUAGACAUCCUGUAUAGGCAUUCCAACUGCAUAAUGAUUCAUUGCCAAUAGAAAAAUUGGCAACUAGUGUGUUGUAGAGCGAUUCAAUUUUGUUACCAGGACAUUGAUAUUACAGGCAGAUAUUGAUUGGGUAAAAUCAAUUUGUGCUGAAGCAGAUGCACACAAGUUAAAGUUGGGCUAGCAAACAUUUUCAGAGCUGCAUUGUGUUACGCAAAAAAAUACCCCUCAACCCUGUCCCAAGGAGGCUCUUAGGGGCUUGUCUAUCAGCAUUCUUCUACAAGCAGACACAAGAUAAGGUGCACUUUGCUACCUCUAGACAACUGUCAGUAGCAUUUUGAAGGCACAGGUUCGCUCUAAUUAUCUACAGUGUGCAAAACAUAGAAUUGGACAUUCAGACUUGCAUGUCCUUCUUCUGUUUGCUGUCGGAAGACUUUCAAGAUGGAUCCACGCCGCGGAGACAACAGUGGAGAAGGCAGUGCAAAUGCGGAGCAAGUGGUUGCUUUCACGGCCAAACUGGCUCAGGAAGACAGCUACCCCUGUCACUCUGGAGUGCUGAAGUUUGCCAAUGUCUGCAUCAACGAAGGUGAUGCCUACAACUCUGAAACUGGCAUCUUUACCUGCCCUCUGGAUGGCCUUUAUCACUUCAUGGUACACAUGUCUGUGUAUGGACGGGCCCAAUGUGCCAUAUCGAAGAAUUCUGAGACUAUAGUGUCAAUGUAUCACACCAGUCUGCCUGAUAAAUGCAGCCAAGUAGCAAGUGUCAGCACUGUUGUGAAAUUAGCUAAACGAGAACAGGUCUGGGUUUCUACCUGGGGCCCGGGUCGAAAUGACUUCUUUGCCAGUCCUGAUAAUGACAGCAUUUUUGUUGGAUUUCGUUUUGGAUAA
rnacentral:lncRNA from 1 species